GACGAACGCUGGCGGCGUGCUUAACACAUGCAAGUCGAACGGUGAAGCGCCUUCCUUUUUGGUGGGUGUGGAUGAGUGGCGAACUGGUGAGUAACACGCUAGUAACCUGCCCCCUUCUUCUGGAUAACCGCAUGAAAGAGUGGCUAAUACGGGUUCUUCUGGGUCUGUCGCAUGAUGGGUCCUGGAGAGAUAAUGUUUCGGUGGGUGAUGGGCGCGGGGCCUAUCAGUUUGUUGGUGGGGUGAUGGCCUACCAAGGCGGGGCCGGGUAGCCGGACUGAGAGGUCGGCCGGACAGAGUGGGACUGAGACACGGGCCUGACUCGUACGGGAGCCAUCAGGGGUGAAGAAUGCUCAAUGGGCGCAAGCCUGAUGCAGGGAGCGCGUGUGAGGGAUGGAUGCCUGUGGUAUGGGAACCUCUUUCGGGAGUGGAGCAGGCCUGCCUCGUUUGUGGGUUGGUGGACGUUAGCUGGAUAAGAAGCGCCGGCUAACUACGUG
rnacentral:rRNA from 1 species